GUGGUCGUGCGUAGUAUCACAUGUAAGCCUAAUGUUCCUUUGACCUCUCAGGGUGGGAUAUAAGAAUUCCUUAUGACUCAAUGACCUCAUUGAGUCUCUGCUCUGCACACCCUCUCCGCGGGCCUCUCUCCAGCUCGGAUGAUGAUGGAAAGCAGAAGAAUGCAGGAAUGUGGAGGGAGAUGAUCAUCCUGGUUGCUCACUGCAACGGUAUCAGUGACUCAGCUGACCCAUAAGGAAGACUCGUCUGAUACAUCGCAGAAGGACAGAGGUGGAGGAGAUGGGAGCUUUUGCUCCUAUUAACCUGGUGUUUACAGUUUAAACAGGUGAAUAGGACUGUUAUACUCACCCACAGAGUAUUAGUUU
rnacentral:lncRNA from 1 species